rnacentral:rRNA from 1 species
GAUGAACGCUGGCGGCGUGCUUAACACAUGCAAGUCGAACGGAAAGGCCCAAGCUUGCUUGGGUACUCGAGUGGCGAACGGGUGAGUAACACGUGGGUGAUCUGCCCUGCACUUCGGGAUAAGCCUGGGAAACUGGGUCUAAUACCGGAUAGGACCACAUUUUGGAUGGUGUGGUGGAAAGUUUUUCGGUGUGGGAUGAGCUCGCGGCCUAUCAGCUUGUUGGUGGGGUAAUGGCCUACCAAGGCGUCGACGGGUAGCCGGCCUGAGAGGGUGUACGGCCACAUUGAGACUGAGAUACGGCCCAGACUCCGACGGGAGGAAGAAGUGGGGAAGAUUGAACAAUGGGCGCAAGCCUGAUGCAGCGACGCCGCGUGGGGGAUGACGGCCUUCGGGUUGUAAAAUCCUUUCGCUAGGGACGAAGCGUUAUGUGACGGUACCUGGAGAAGAAGCACCGGCUAACUACGUG